rnacentral:rRNA from 1 species
UACGUAGGGGGCAAGCGUUAUCCGGAAUCAUUGGGCGUAAAGAGCUCGUAGGCGGUUCAGCAAGUCGGCUGUGAAAGUCCAAGGCUCAACCUUGGAAAUGCAAUCGAUACUGCUGUGACUAGAGUCUGGUAGAGGAGAAUGGAAUUCCCGGUGUAGCGGUGGAAUGCGCAGAUAUCGGGAGGAACACCAGUAGCGAAGGCGGUUCUCUGGGCCUCGACUGACGCUGAGGAGCGAAAGCAUGGGUAGCAAACAGG